rnacentral:rRNA from 1 species
AUACGAAAGGUGCAAGCGUUGUGCGGAUUUACUGGGCGUAAAGAGAGUGUAGGUGGUUUAUUAAGUCGGAUGUGAAAUCCCGGGGCUCAACCUCGGAACUGCAUUCGAUACUGAUAGGCUAGAGUUUGGGAGGGGUAAGCGGAAUUCCGUGUGUAGCAGUGAAAUGCGUAGAUAUACGGAGGAACACCUGAGGCGAAGGCGGCUUACUGGACCAAUACUGACACUGAGACUCGAAAGCGUGGGUAGCAAACAGGAUUAGAAACCCCAGUAGUCC